rnacentral:rRNA from 1 species
UACGUAGGUGGCAAGCGUUGUCCGGAUUUACUGGGCGUAAAGGGCGUGCAGGCGGUCUGUUAAGUGCAGGGUGAAAGCUCCCGGCUCAACUGGGAGUGGUCCUUGCAUACUGGCGGACUUGAGGGGGGUAGAGGAAAGUGGAAUUCCCGGUGUAGUGGUGAUAUGCGUAGAUAUCGGGAGGAACACCUGUGGCGAAGGCGGCUUUCUGGGCCCUACCUGACGCUGAGACGCGAAAGCUAGGGGAGCAAACGGG